rnacentral:rRNA from 1 species
CGCGGCCUAUCAGCUUGUUGGUGAGGUAACGGCUCACCAAGGCAUCGACGGGUAGCUGGUCUGAGAGGACGAUCAGCCACACUGGGACUGAGACACGGCCCAGACUCCUACGGGAGGCAGCAGUAGGGAAUCUUGCGCAAUGGGCGAAAGCCUGACGCAGCAACGCCGCGUGGGGGAUGAAUGCCUUCGGGUUGUAAACCCCUUUCAGCAGGGACGAAAAUGACGGUACCUGCAGAAGAAGCUCCGGCCAACUACGUGCCAGCAGCCGCGGUAAUACGUAGGGAGCGAGCGUUGUCCGGAAUUAUUGGGCGUAAAGAGCUCGUAGGCGGUUCAGUAAGUCGGGUGUGAAAACUCAAGGCUCAACCUUGAGACGCCACUCGAUACUGCUGUGACUUGAGUCCGGUAGAGGAGUGUGGAAUUCCUGGUGUAGCGGUGAAAUGCGCAGAUAUCAGGAGGAACACCAGCGGCGAAGGCGGCACUCUGGGCCGGUACUGACGCUGAGGAGCGAAAGCAUGGGGAGCAAACAGGAUUAGAUACCCUGGUAGUCCAUGCUGUAAACGUUGGGCACUAGGUAUGGGAUCAUAUCAACGGAUUCCGUGCCGUAGCUAACGCAUUAAGUGCCCCGCCUGGGGAGUACGG